CCUGGCGGCUCAGCAGUAGAGAAUCUGCCUGCAGUGCAGGAGACCCAGGUUUGAUCCCUGGGUCAGGA
rnacentral:tRNA from 1 species